UGGGGAAUAUUGCACAAUGGGCGCAAGCCUGAUGCAGCCAUGCCGCGUGUGUGAAGAAGGCCUUCGGGUUGUAAAGCACUUUCAGCGGGGAGGAAGGCGUUAAGGUUAAUAACCUUGGCGAUUGACGUUACCCGCAGAAGAAGCACCGGCUAACUCCGUGCCAGCAGCCGCGGUAAUACGGAGGGUGCAAGCGUUAAUCGGAAUUACUGGGCGUAAAGCGCACGCAGGCGGUCUGUCAAGUCGGAUGUGAAAUCCCCGGGCUCAACCUGGGAACUGCAUUCGAAACUGGCAGGCUAGAGUCUUGUAGAGGGGGGUAGAAUUCCAGGUGUACCGGUGAAAUGCGUAGAGAUCUGGAGGAAUACCGGUGGCGAAGGCGGCCCCCUGGACAAAGACUGACGCUCAGGUGCGAAAGCGUGGGGAGCAAACAGG
rnacentral:rRNA from 1 species